GAUGAACGCUGGCGGCGUGCCUAAUACAUACAAGUCGAGCGAACAGACGAGGAGCUUGCUCCUCUGACGUUAGCGGCGGACGGGUGAGUAACACGUGGAUAACCUACCUAUAAGACUGGGAUAACUUCGGGAAACCGGAGCUAAUACCGGAUAAUAUAUUGAACCGCAUGGUUCAAUAGUGAAAGACGGUUUUGCUGUCACUUAUAGAUGGAUCCGCGCCGCAUUAGCUAGUUGGUAAGGUAACGGCUUACCAAGGCAACGAUGCGUAGCCGACCUGAGAGGGUGAUGCGCCACACUGGAACUGAGACACGGUCCAGACUCCUACGGGAGGCAGCAGUAGGGAAUCUUCCGCAAUGGGCGAAAGCCUGACGGAGCAACGCCGCGUGAGUGAUGAAGGUCUUCGGAUCGUAAAACUCUGUUAUUAGGGAAGAACAAAUGUGUAAGUAACUAUGCACGUCUUGACGGUACCUAAUCAGAAAGCCACGGCUAACUACGUG
rnacentral:rRNA from 1 species